rnacentral:tRNA from 1 species
GGGGCUGUAGCUCAGCUGGGAGAGCGCUUGAAUGGCAUUCAAGAGGUCGUCGGUUCGAAUCCGAUCAGCUCCACCA